GACGAACGCUGGCGGCGUGCCUAAUACAUGCAAGUAGGACGAGUUGCGAACGGGUGAGUAACGCGUGGUAACCUACCUCUUAGAGGGGGAUAACUACUGGAAACGGUAGCUAAUACCGCAUACCAUCGGAUGUGCCCAGAUGGGAUUGGCUAGUGGGGGGGGUAACGGCUCACCUAGGGGACGAUCCCUAGCUGGUCUGAGAGGAUGACCGGCCACACUGGAACUGGGACACGGUCCAGACUCCUACGGGAGGCAGCAGUGGGGAAUAUUGGACAAUGGGCGAAAGCCUGAUGCAGCCAUGCCGCGUGUAUGAAGAAGGCCUUCGGGUUGUAAAGUACUUUCAGCGGGGAGGCGUUACUCGCAGAGGAAGCACCGGCUAACUCCGUGCCAGCCGCCGCGGUAAUAC
rnacentral:rRNA from 1 species